GACUUGUAAAGAAUUAAAGGAGCUAUCCAAAGUAAUACAUAUAAUAUAAAUUAGUUAUUUUAUAUAUUUAUUCUUGGUACAAAUAAAGCCAUUUUGUCGCAGACCUGAUGUCCAUACGCCAUCUUCAAAAACUAACUUAUUGUCGCCCAAAUUCAGUUUAAUCGUUCCACUUUCUUUGUCCGUGUCAUCUAGAUCUUUCACACUAAUUGUCGAGGCUCCAGCCUCUAUAUUUCGUGGAGGAACCUUGCCUUUUCUUUUAAAUAAAGGCAUCGAAUAUCUUUUCAAGUUGUAAACUUUUCAAAUUUUGCUCCAUCCUCGUUCCCAGGGCUUCUCGGCUGCCUGCGUUGCCGUAA